rnacentral:rRNA from 1 species
AUGCACGCUGGCGGCGUGCCUCAUCCAUGCAAGUCGCGCGCACAGACGAGGAGCUUGCUCCUCUGACGUUAGCGGCGGACGGGUGAGUAACACGUGGAUAACCUACCUAUAAGACUGGGAUAACUUCGGGAAACCGGAGCUAAUACCGGAUAAUAUAUUGAACCGCAUGGUUCAAUAGUGAAAGACGGUUUUGCUGUCACUUAUAGAUGGAUCCGCGCCGCAUUAGCUAGUUGGUAAGGUAACGGCUUACCAAGGCAACGAUGCGUAGCCGACCUGAGAGGGUGAUCGGCCACACUGGAACUGAGACACGGUCCAGACUCCUACGGGAGGCAGCAGUAGGGAAUCUUCCGCAAUGGGCGAAAGCCUGACGGAGCAACGCCGCGUGAGUGAUGAAGGUCUUCGGAUCGUAAAACUCUGUUAUUAGGGAAGAACAAAUGUGUAAGUAAUUAUGCACGUCUUGACGGUACCUAAUCAGAAAGCCACGGCUAACUACGUG